rnacentral:rRNA from 1 species
UCAGAAACUCAAAGGAAUUGACGGGGCCGCACAAGCGAGGAGCAUGUGGUUUAAUUCGAUGAUACGCGAGGAACCUUACCUGGGCUCGAACGUAAGAUGACUGUAGGUGAAAGCUUACAUCUCUUCGGAGCAUUUUACGAGGUGCUGCAUGGUUGUCGUCAGCUCGUGCCGUGAGGUGUCGGGUUAAGUCCCAUAACGAGCGCAACCCCUACCUUUAGUUGCCAUCAGGUAAUGCUGGGGACUCUAAAGGAACUGCCUACGCAAGUAGUGAGGAAGGCGGGGAUGACGUCAAAUCAGCACGGCCCUUACGUCCAGGGCUACACACGUGCUACAAUGGCCGAUACAGAGGGCAGCUACCUGGUGACAGGAUGCAAAUCUCCAAAGUCGGUCUCAGUUCGGAUCGGAGUCUGCAACCCGACUCCGUGAAGUUGGAUUCGCUAGUAAUCGCGCAUCAGCCAUGGCGCGGUGAAUACGUUCCCGGGCCUU